rnacentral:rRNA from 1 species
CCUACGGGAGGCUGCAGUGGGGAAUAUUGCACAAUGGGCGCAAGCCUGAUGCAGCCAUGCCGCGUGUGUGAAGAAGGCCUUCGGGUUGUAAAGCACUUUCAGCGGGGAGGAAGGCGUUAAGGUUAAUAACCUUGUCGAUUGACGUUACCCGCAGAAGAAGCACCGGCUAACUCCGUGCCAGCAGCCGCGGUAAUACGGAGGGUGCAAGCGUUAAUCGGAAUUACUGGGCGUAAAGCGCACGCAGGCGGUCUGUCAAGUCGGAUGUGAAAUCCCCGGGCUCAACCUGGGAACUGCAUUCGAAACUGGCAGGCUAGAGUCUUGUAGAGGGGGGUAGAAUUCCAGGUGUAGCGGUGAAAUGCGUAGAGAUCUGGAGGAAUACCGGUGGCGAAGGCGGCCCCCCGGACAAAGACUGACGCUCAGGUGCGAAAGCGUGGGGAGCAAACAGGAUUAGAUACCCGGGUAGUC